rnacentral:rRNA from 1 species
GACGAACGCUGGCGGCGUGCUUAACACAUGCAAGUCGAACGGAAAGGCCCUGCUUUUGUGGGGUGCUCGAGUGGCGAACGGGUGAGUAACACGUGAGUAACCUGCCCUUGACUUUGGGAUAACUUCAGGAAACUGGGGCUAAUACCGGAUAGGAGCUCCUGCUGCAUGGUGGGGGUUGGAAAGUUUCGGCGGUUGGGGAUGGACUCGCGGCUUAUCAGCUUGUUGGUGGGGUAGUGGCUUACCAGGGCUUUGACGGGUAGCCGGCCUGAGAGGGUGACCGGCCCAAUUGGAUACGGGAUGCGGCCGAAGCGCCUAGGGGGGGAAGGAGGGGGGAAUGACCCAACAAGGCCGGAUGCGUGAUGAAGAAACCCGGCGCGCGGAGCGCUGCCGUCGGGGUUGAAAACGUGUUUGCCUGGAAAGGAGGCGUGGGGACGGGAAAUUGGAAAAAAGGCACGGCUAAAUACGUG